AAGAUGGAGGUCGAAGAAGAAAGUCUUCGUUCUUUAAAUUUGUUGAUUAAAAACGUGGAGAAAAAUGUCGAACACUUUAUAACUCACGAUGAAAAUCAAAGUUCGAAAAUUCUUUCUGGCCUACGCGAAAUUUACUACCUCACUAAAAAGGAGGAAGCUGUUUGUGGGCGAAGUAUCAAAGGAUGUCCUUUCGAGAGACUACAACUUGAUGAUACGAAUUUCGAUGUAGAAAUAAUAUGGCAGCAAAUACAGCUUCAAAAUGAGUGCCUUUUACCUAAGUUGAGUGUAGAAGUUAAAACUUUGGUUAAUAAACCAGGAACUGUAUUUUUAAGGAAAGAAAAACCGAAAAUGCUAGCGACCGAUUUAAGAACAAAUAAAAUGGAAAGUGAUUCUCAAAUAUUGGCUCAAAGUGAUUCUGAGAAGGGCGAUUGUAUUAUUGAUAAUGAUAGUUUAUGUGUUGAGGAAGUCAGACAUGAAGGGUUAGAAAUCCCAAACAUUACAGACAAAGUCCAAGCCAGGAUGAACGAAGGCUCAGUGGUGGAUGAUACAUUUUUUAAAUUGGAUGAGAUGGAAAGAUUCUUGGAAAGUAAAUAUGCUGGUGAUGGUGAAAUGUCAGAUGAAGAUGAUGAUGAAGAAAAUGUUGAUUAUUUCAUGGAUGUUAAUGAAUCAAAGGGAUUGUCUAAGGAUAAAAGCAAUGCCAUUGAAAACAUCAUGUAUUCUGACUUAUUUGAUUAUCCUGAGGAUCUUAAUACCAAACUGGGUGAUGAUAAAAAGGAUGACAAUGAAAAACACAUUCUUGAAAAAGUGGCAAAGCAUAAUGAUAAUGAGCGUGAUACAAACAAGCUUAAUGAGGACAAUUUUAACGAUGGCAGAUCCAAAUCAACUUUGGAGAAACAGCAGGAAAAGGUGAAAAAGCAGAUUGCGGCAUUGGAACAAAGUAAUAUUGCGACAAAAAGUUGGCAACUAUCAGGAGAGACAUCGGCAUCUGUACGACCGCAAAAUAGUCUGCUGGAGGAAGUGUUGCAGUUUGAUCACACUAUGGCUCCUGCUCCUGUUAUAACAGAAGAAAGAAGCAAAAAUUUAGAAGAUAUUAUUACUCAGAGAAUUAAAGAUAACGCAUGGGAUGACGUGGAGCGAAAAGAAAAGCCAGUAAAGAAAGUUGAAUACAAGAAAGCUCACCCAAUAAGUCAAGAGAAAAGUAAAAUGAGUCUGAGUGAAAUAUAUGAGAGAGAAUAUCAACAACAACAGAAUCCAGGGGGAGAAAAGGAAAACAAAGAACAUGUUGAAAUUAAGAAAUUGAUGAAAUCUCUCUUUUCGAAAUUGGAUGCUCUAACCAACUUUCAUUUUACACCCAAACCGUUAAAGUCUGAAGUGACGAUCGUAUCCAACGUGCCGUCAAUCAAUAUGGAGGUACACACCGGUAAACGUGAAUGAGGCGGCACUACUCGCUCCAGAAGAAAUUUAUGACAAACAGAAAACUGAAAUAAAGCUCAAACUGAAAUGAAAAACAAGACAGAACGCGAAAGCGUCGUUUGAAGAAAGCGAAACAACGUACAGCUGCAAAACAUAAAGAGAAAAUACAGAAAGUGAUCGAGAAAACAAAUCCAGGUCUAGGCAAUAAAUACAGUAAGAAGAAAGCGCUGGAAACACUAAAGAAAGACAAGUCCAGCAUCAUCGUCAACGGCAAAUCUCGAGAUAGCUCGCUGACGUCAUCUUCGGGAUUCUUUGCUAAGCUUCAAGAUAAUGUACGAGAGGAAAUUGUGAGGAAAAGCGAAGGAGGACGUCAAGUUAAAAAGGCAAAAGUAUCGUCCGCUAGUUGUAAGUUUUGAUUGAAGUCACUGUUGUAAUUAAUGCCGAGAUGGUUUGUGGUUGUUAGCGAAGGUUUUCCGUUUUGGAGAAAGAAGCUUUACUGAGGCCUUUUUCACUGAAAUAAUGCUACGCGUCUUUUUGCAAAAUUUGUAGGCAAAAUUUGUUUCCCCAUCCCAUGUUUACAAUGGAACCUUAACUGUCUUAUAUUGACGUUGAGUCAAACAAUACAUCAAUUGAAUUUUUAUUCAAAACCAACAAAUAUUACUUAUAUUUGCUCUUAUAUUGAAGUGACAUUUUAUAAUUUCUAACCGAAAGAUUAAAACUGCGAGGAAUCUGUA